rnacentral:tRNA from 1 species
CGGGUUGUAGCUCAGUGGUAGAGCACUUGCCUAGCAUGUGUGAGGCACUGGGUUCAAUUCUCAGCAUCACAU